UACGAAGGGGGCUAGCGUUGUUCGGAAUUACUGGGCGUAAAGCGCGCGCAGGCGGUCUUCCAAGUCAGUGGUGAAAGCCCGGAGCUCAACCCCGGAACUGCCAUUGAAACUGUUAGACUUGAGGACGAGAGAGGUGAGUGGAAUUCCCAGUGUAGAGGUGAAAUUCGUAGAUAUUGGGAAGAACACCGGUGGCGAAGGCGGCUCACUGGCUCGUUUCUGACGCUCAGGAGCGACAGCGUGGGGAUCAAACAGG
rnacentral:rRNA from 1 species